GAGCACUACGAGCCACAGCUUAAACUCAAGGACUUGGCGGUGCCCUAUACCCACCUAGAGGAGCCUGUUCUAUAAUUGAUAAUCCCCAAUAAACCUCACCGCCUCUUGCAAAUACAGCCUAUAUACCACCGUCACAAGCCCACCCCACCAAAGGAAUAAUAGUAGGCCAAACAAUUUAAAAUAAAAAAGUCAGGUCAAGGUGUAGCACACGAGUCGGAAAGAAAUGGGCUACAUUUUCUUAAAAGAAAAUACGGAAUAUCUUAUGAAAUAAGAUAUUAAAGGAGGAUUUAGUAGUAAAAAGAGAAUAGAGAGCUCUUUUAAAAUCGGCAAUAGGACGAGCACACACCGCCCGUCACCCUCUUUAAACACAAUAAAAAAUAAAUAAAAAAUAAGCACUUCAGAAGAGGAAAGUCGUAACAUGGUAAGUCUACCGGAAGGUGGCCUUGGAA
rnacentral:rRNA from 1 species